rnacentral:rRNA from 1 species
UAACGACUCUCGGCAACGGAUAUCUCGGCUCUCGCAUCGAUGAAGAACGCAACAAAAUGCGAUACUUGGUGUGAAUUGCAGAAUCCCGUGAAUCAUCGAGUUUUUGAACGCAAGUUGCGCCCGAAGCCUUUCGGCCGAGGGCACGUCUGCCUGGGUGUCACGC